rfam:Hydrogenophaga sp. T4 contig000220, whole genome shotgun sequence.
CCACACUUGGAACAGUGUGUCCUCAUCCACGCGAGCUAACCGGGUAACUGGUCGGUGAGAAGCCGUGGAUAAACAUCCCGCACCGCAAGGUGCACAGGCCACGUGCGAACGUGUCCGAUUCCCCAAGCAAGACCGGGAAGAGAUG